UACGUAGGGUGCAAGCGUUGUCCGGAAUUAUUGGGCGUAAAGAGCCCGUAGGCGGUCUGUCGCGUCGGCUGUGAAAACCCGGGGCUCAACCCCGGGCCUGCAGUCGAUACGGGCAGACUAGAGUGCGGUAGGGGAGACUGGAAUUCCUGGUGUAGCGGUGAAAUGCGCAGAUAUCAGGAGGAACACCGGUGGCGAAGGCGGUUCUCUGGGACGGUACUGACGCUGAGACGCGAAAGCGUGGGGAGCGAACAGG
rnacentral:rRNA from 1 species